rnacentral:rRNA from 1 species
CUACGGGCGGCACCAGUGAGGAAUAUUGCACAAUGGGGGAACCCUGAUGCAGCAACGCCGCGUGGAGGAUGACGCAUUUCGGUGUGUAAACUCCUUUUAUAUGUCAAGAAAAUGACGGUAGCAUAUGAAUAAGCACCGGCUAACUCCGUGCCAGCAGCCGCGGUAAUACGGAGGGUGCAAGCGUUACUCGGAAUCACUGGGCGUAAAGGACGCGUAGGCGGGUUGGAAAGUCAGGUGUGAAAUCCUACAGCUUAACUGUAGAACUGCACUUGAAACUUCUAAUCUAGAGUAUGGGAGGGGGAGACGGAAUUAGUGGUGUAGGGGUAAAAUCCGUAGAUAUCACUAGGAAUACCUAAAGCGAAGGCGAUCUCCUGGAACAUUACUGACGCUAAGGCGUGAAAGUGUGGGGAGCAAACAGGAUUAGAUACCCCUGUAGUC